rfam:Gossypium hirsutum cultivar TM-1 unplaced genomic scaffold scaffold732.1, whole genome shotgun sequence
AUACUUACCUGGACGGGGUCAAUGAGUGAUCAGGAAGACUCAUGGCCUAGAGCAGUGACCUCCAUUGCACUUGGGAGGGGUGCUGCUUUAAGGUCUCCCCAAGAGGGAGAGCCUACGUCAUAAUUUGUGGCAGUGGGGGCUUGCGUUCACGCAGCCCCUAU